AUAGACUGUGUAUGCUCUAAUAACAGCUUCACAUCAGAAGGUCUUUUUGGAAACCCAAGUCCAGAAAAAAACCUGUUUGGUCAAAAGGACGUGCAAGAAGGUACUCGUUAAUCGUAUAUCUUAUCCCCAUACAAACAAAGCCAUUGGAGGGUAGGACCAGCCGUUCGACCUGCUUGAUUAGCAGCAGCUAACUCAACAUUUGCACGGAAUAUCUCCAUGGCUCGCGUGGCCUCAAAUCCCGUCGGCCUCCACAGAUUCCGACCCAGCUUUCGAACCCCUCAAGCCCCCCACCAGCUCUUCAAAACCCACCUCCACUCCCAAACCACCCCCCGGAAAUUUCGGAGCAUAGCUCGUUGCCAAACAAACCCCGACCCAACCGAGACCUCUUCAACGCAAAAGGUGGUCGAUGGUAGUUCCAAUUCCCAAGCCACAAGUGCCUCCGUGGAUAAUGGGCCUCCGGAAUUUCCGAACAAGAACAUCAACAGGCGGAUAGCAGUGGUUUCUACUCUCGCUGCAUUGGGGCUUUUCUUAUCGGCACGAUUGGAUCUCGGUGUUUCCUUGAGGGACCUAACUGCUGCCGCAUUACCUUACGAAGAGGCUCUUUCCAAUGGAAAGCCCACUGUUGUGGAGUUCUACGCAGAUUGGUGCGAAGUGUGUCGGGAAUUGGCUCCGGAGGUCUACAAAGUUGAGCAACAAUUCAAGGACCGCGUGAAUUUUGUUAUGUUGAAUGUUGACAACACGAAAUGGGAACAGGAGCUUGAUGAGUUUGGCGUUGAGGGCAUUCCUCACUUUGCGUUUCUAGACAGAGAUGGGAAUGAGGAGGGUAAUGUAGUUGGGAAGCUUCCAAGGCAGUACCUGCUUGAGAAUAUUGAUGCGUUAGCCCGUGGGGAAGCAUCUAUACCUCAUGCCCGUGUCGUGGGACAGUAUUCGAGUGCUGAAGCAAGGAAGGCGCACCAAGUUGUCAAUCCAAGAAGCCAUGGUUAGAUGUUACUUUCCCCUGCAGAAGCAACCCAUCAAUUUGUCGCUGGUAAUACAUGUAUAAGGUUGAAUUUUGCAUUGGAAAUUUGAUUUCGCAUUAUUUAUUUCAUAAGGAAGUUAGCACCCUGCUUUAGCUGAGUCAUAGCUUUCUCUAAAGGUUGGAUUUCUUCCUCAAUUGUAAAAUUCCACCCGGGGUCCUCGUAUGUGCCUUUUGAUAAUUUGUUUACUAGAUCUUGAAUAUCCCAGUA